UCUCAAACUUUAAAUAGGUAGGAUGGCACGGCUGCUUUGUUAAGUCGUGCCAAGGAAGCAAGAACUCCGAGUGGGCCAUUUUUGGUAAGCAAAACUGGCGAUGCGGGAUGAACCCGAAGCCGGAUUACGGUGCUCAACUGUGCGCUAACCUAGAACCCACAAAGGGUGUUGGUCGAUUAAGACAACAACAUAGUGGUCAGGGAAGUCGAAAUUCAUUAAGGAGUGUGUAACAACUCACCUGCCGAAUCAACUAGCCUCGAAAAUGGAUGGAGCUGAAGCGCGGGACCUAUACCCGGCCGCUUGGAGGGCGCAGCAUUGGCUGCAAAACCUAGGGCGCUAGCCGAGGCGGAGUGGCUGUCAGUGCAGAUCUUGUUGGUAGUAGCAAAUAUUCAACUAAGAACUUUGAAGGCUGAAGAGGGGAAAUGAUAUGAACCCGCGGGAUUGAAAUCCCUUGAACCCACAAUCAAUUUGAAAACUCUCCAAGAAAGCCAAAAUCAAGUCANUUCAAUAUUGUCUAAGCUUCAAAUGAGGCUACAAGGAGUAUUUAAACUAAACCUAAUUAAAACCCUAGCCAAAAUAAAGCCCCCUUUACCCAAAAUGCCCCUGAUGAACAUUGUCGCAGCUAGUAUGACUACAGUAAUGCUACAGUAACCUCUUGAAACCCUAGUUCCUAAAAAGUAACUUUCCAAAUAAGCCAUUGGCCAAAAUACAAGGCCUUCCAGAAAAUCCUAGUUCAUUAAAAAUAAGACGUGUGGGCCAAGCAUCUUCAAGCCUACUUAUUCUAAACUAAUAAAAUAAAUCAUUUAACUGAAUUGGAAGCCUCUAAUAACAAUAGGCCCUAUCUCUAAGUCAUGUCCUCCACAUCUUGAAUCAAGUGGAUCAAAGAUGGUUCUCCUUCUUUCAAGCCCAUCUUGAGUGUUGGGCUCUUGCUAGCUUUGUCCCAAGUGGAUUGCACCAAUCCGUGCAUUGCUUCCUUGAUCUUCUUGGCCUUUAAUCAUGUAAUUAGCUCAUCUGGAACUUGCAAAUGAUCUUUAAGAGUAGGCCCACCUUGGUUCCCAUCAGGAAAGGUUCCAUGUGAAAGGCACUUGCACAUGGGUUAGUCGAUCCUAAGAGACGGGGGAAGCUUGUCUGAUAGCAUGUUGGACAUAAGCUUCGAAAGGGAAUCGGGUUAAAAGGAGUCCAGAGACGUCAGCAGGGGCCCGAGGAAGAGUUAUCUUUUCUUUUUAAUAGCUUGCCCACCCUAGAAACGGCUCAGCCGGAGGUAGGGUCCAGUGGCUAGAAGAGCACUGCACUGCGCAUGGUGUCUGAUGCACUCCCGGCGGCCCAUGAAAAUCUGGAGGAUCGAGUGCCAUCCAUGCCAGGUCGUACUCAUAACUGCAUCAGGUCGAUGGAACAAUGUAGGUAAGGGAAGUUAACAAAAUGGAUCCAUAACCUCAGCAAAAAGAUUGACUCUAAGGGCUGGGCAAGGGGGUCCCAGUCCCGAAGCCGUCAGCUAUCAGUGGACUGCUUGAACUGCUCUCGCGGAGAGAGCGGGUUGUCACGUGCCUGUCGGGGGAUGAACUGGGAAUGAGUGCUUUAGUGGUCUUCCCCGGGCGUCGAAUAGUUGACUCAGAACUAGUACAAACAAGGGGAAUCCGACUGUUUAAUUUUUAACAAAGCAUUGCAAUGGUCUCUACGGAUGCUCACGCAAUGUGACUUCUGCCCUGUGCUCUGAAUGUCAAAGUGAAGAAAUUCAUCCAAGCGUGGGUAAACGGCGGGAGUAAUUAUGACUCUCUUAAGGUAGCCAAAUGCCUCGUCAUCUAAUUAGUGAUGCGCAUGAAUGGAUUAAUGAGAUUCCCACUAUCCCUAUCUACUAUCCAGCGAAACCACAACCAAGGCCAAAAGGUAGAAGUGAAAUACCACUACUUUUAACGUUAUUUUACUUAUUUCGUGAAUCGGAGGCAAGGCAUUGCCCCUCAAUUUGGACCCAAGGCUCAUUUCGGCGGGCUGAUCCAGGUAGAAGACAUUGUCAGGUGGGGAGUUUGAUUCUGUGGAACAAACUCCCCACCUGAGAUGAGCUCAAUGAGAACAUAAAUCUCGUGUGGAACAAAAGGGUAAAAGCUCAUUUGAUUCUAAUUUCUAGUACGAAUACGAACCGUGAAAGCAUGGCCUAUCGAUCCUUUGGACCUUCAGAAUUUGAAUCCAGAGGUGUCAGAAAAGUUAUCAUAGGGAUAACUUGCUUGUGGCAACCAAGCAUUCAUAACGAAGUUGCUUUUUGAUCCUUCGACGUCGGCUCUUCCUAUCAUUGUGAAGCAGAAUUCACCAAGUGUUGGAUUGUUCACCCACCAAUAGGGAACGUGAACUGGGUUCAGACCGUCGUGAGUUAGUUUAGUUUUUCCCUACGGAUGACAGUGUCGCCAUAGUAAUUCAACCUAGUACGAAAGGAACAGUUGAUUCACACAAUUGGUCAUCGAGCCUGGUUGAAAAGCCAGUGGCACGAAGCUACCAUGCGCUGGAUUAUGACUGAACGCCUCUAAGUCAAAAUCCAAGCUAAAAGCGACGCGUGCACCCGUCGCCCAAUUGUCGACCUGCAGUAGGGGCCUUAGGGCCCCAGAGGCACACGUUAUUGGUGAAGCCCUCGUGGCGGAUGAGCCGUGCAGGUCACCUUGAAGUACAAUUCUCACCAAGCGACAGGUAGAAUCCUUUGCA
rnacentral:rRNA from 1 species